AGAAAGCAUCAGAACAGAGGAGGGAACGCCUCGGAUCCCGUUGCCCUCCCCCGUAUCUCUCCCUCCUCCGCCUCCUCCUCUCUGCUUCACCCAGAGAAGAACGGGAGAGAGAUCAGGGUCGUUGGACGCUCUUUGAUCCGGAUUUCCUGAAGCGGAGGGAUGGCAGCGAUCCCCAGGGCUUCGCUCGGUCUGGUGGCCAUUAUGCUUCUCGGCUUGGACAUCGUCCUGCCGAACGUCCAGGCUCAGGCCCCCGCUCCCGCUCCUACCAGCGACGGUGAUUUGAUCUUCUUCUUGCCUUUUGUUUUCCCAUCCUCGCGUUUACUUUUCUUUCAAAAGCCAAAGAUCCGAUCUUUCUGCUGCUAUUGCAAAUGGAUGUGUUCUCUUCUCUGAACUUUUCCCUUUCUUCCUUGAUCCAUUUUCUAGUUUUUGUUAGUCCGGAUCCAGUUUAGGCACAAUGUAAUGGUUUUCUCUGCAGAUUCUCUUGGCUUUUCGUACAUUCACGGCGACAUAAAGGUUAAAGUUUGCAAUCCUUGGCUUGAAUAGGUUUUAAUUUCUAAUGCAAAAAUUCCUCUUUUUGAGUUCCUUCUACCCAAACAUGGUUGAAUGCUGCAACUUCUAUGACGAAUAUUGUGGCCUUCUGCGAUGCAUUCAGAUUAUCUUUCUGAAUGCAAACUAUGAAUACGAUCUUUAUAUGAAUUUGGAUCUUUACGCUGAGGGGAUGGAGGGUUGACAUUACUGCUUCUUUGUGUGGGAAGGAAUCAUAAAGAACAAUGUCAGCCCUAUUUGGAAGAUUCAGAUAUGUGCAUCACAAUAGGAUUCAAGAAUGCCAGCCUAUGACGAGGCCGAACAAAAAUUGACGGCAUACGGCAAACUCAGAGAUGCUCUUUGUCUUCUUCAGAGGCUUCCUUUAUUUCUGUUGGCCAUUCAACCACGACACUGUUGCCACCACCCAAUUUUAAGAACAUGGAUGUUUCAGAGUGGCAGCAAAUGCACUCAUGCGCACUCCGAGGGUUUAUAAACCUGGAGGACGCAAGCUCAGAGAAAGCUUGCACAGCAACAAAUGGGAAAAUGAAAUUAUUAAGCAUGCAAAAGGAUCAAUGUCAAGCUCUUGUAUAAUUUUGUGCUUGAAA